GUCCACGUUUCCAACUCGGUAGGCCUCAAACCCAGACGUGGGUAAGGGCAAGAAAGUCACCCCUAAUCAGGGCCAAAGGGUGGUGCUGGGCUUCACAAACUUGAUUAGCAGUUCAGGAUCAGUUUCAGCAUUAAAGGGACACUAUAGUCACCUGAACAACUUCAGCUUAAUGAGGUUGUUCAGGUGAGAACAAUAGCUCCCUGCAGCCUUU